GACGAACGCUGGCGGCGUGCCUAAUACAUGCAAGUCGAACGCAGUGGGGACGGGUGAGUAACACGUGGGUAACCUCCCAUCAGAGGGGAUAACACUUGGAAACAGGUGCUAAACCGAUACUGAUGGAUGGACCCGCGGUGCAUUAGCUAGUUGGUGGGGUAACGGCUCACCAAGGCCACGAUGCAUAGCCGACCCUGAGGGGGGGUCGGCCAAACUGGGACUGGGACAAGGGCCAAGAUCCCAAGGGAGGCAGCAGGAGGGAAACUUUGGCAAUGGACGGAAGUCUGGCCGAGCAAAGCCGCGUGAUGGAAGAAGGGUUUCGGGUCGUAAAGCUCUGUUGUUAGAGAAGCGGUAACUAACCAGAAAGGGACGGCUAACUACGUGCCAGCAGCCGCGGUAAUUC
rnacentral:rRNA from 1 species